AUUCAAUAUAGUGGCAUGAAGGAGGAGACACAGAGCUACUUCAUGGGAUCUAUUUUCUUAACAAUCAUGCAUUAUGCAUUGCUGUUGUUUCAGGCCACGUCAUGCUGAACAAGAGCCGAGAAGUGGAAUCGCCACUGUCAAGCCAUCCAGUGGGAUGCCCGCUGUUCCCCCAGGAUCACUCAAGACCCUGUGACUUGUGGUCACUGAUGAGCGGACCAAGUGAAGUCCACAAGAUGGCUGCUGUGGCUCCAGGCAUUACGUCCACAUACAACUCUGUCCAGAGGCAGGAACUGGGAAUAGGCUUGGAGGUGGCCAGGACAGCAAGUGGGCUGUCUGCAUAAACCUCCCUUCCACUUGGGAAGGAAAAUCACCCCCCAAGUCGAUUUUCUGUCCAUCUUAUUGAUCAGAGAGUAUUAUAAAUCCACCCAUUAAAUAAUCUGGACAAGG
rnacentral:sRNA from 1 species